UACGUAGGGGGGCAAGCGUUGUCCGGAAUCAUUGGGCGUAAAGAGCGUGUAGGCGGCCUGGUAAGUCCGCUGUGAAAGUCCAGGGCUCAACCCUGGAAUGCCGGUGGAAACUGUCAGGCUCGAGUCCGGAAGAGGCGAGUGGAAUUCCUGGUGUAGCGGUGAAAUGCGCAGAUAUCAGGAGGAACACCAAUGGCGAAGGCAGCUCGCUGGGACGGUACUGACGCUGGAGACGCGAAAGCGUGGGGAGCAAACAGG
rnacentral:rRNA from 1 species